rnacentral:tRNA from 1 species
GCUGUGGCACAGUGGUAGACCAUCUGCUUUGCAUGCAGAAGGUUCCAGGUUCAAAUUCUGGCAUCUCCA